rnacentral:tRNA from 1 species
GCCGGAUUAGCUCAGUUGGCAGAGCCUUCGUCCUGGGGAAGAGACAGCGGUUCGAUUCCGCUAUCCGGCACUA